UAGAGCUGCACUAUGACUGCCCCUUCUGAUGAGAACCAUGGAAACAAUGCUGGGCAUUUUCUUUUCUACACUUGGAGCAAAUGUUAAGGCACACAGUUCCUAGAUUGUAAGGGCAUUUGAGUUUUCCAUCCUUGGUGUCUUGGAUAGUGUCCAAUAAUGAGUCUUCAACUUCUCACAGAAUUGAGUAAUUAGAAAAUUGUAUUUCAUUAAGGAAAAAGAAAAAUUUGUUAGUACUUCAGCAUAAUUAAAAACUACAGAAUUGUUUUGGCCUUGGAAAAAGUUUAUACAAAUACCUUUAUUAAUAGAAGAGAAUGACCACUAACAUUUAAAAAGGAGGUUUCCUUUUAUAAAAUAAGGCCAUUUAUGGUAACCUGUUGGACUUAAAAAUGCAGUAAAUGGCUCAAGAGAUCUUCUUGACAAAAACCAUGUAUGAUAAUGGAGACAGAUAGUAAUAUAUAUAUAUAAAAUAUAGCCUUGCUGUUGGCUUAGCUGUAGAAAUGGAAAUCAUGCAGUUUUGAUAGCCACUGAGAUGUAUACAUUUAUAGAAAAUCAUCUGUCUCUAGUGCUGUCUGAAUUAUUUUAAUCAAGAGACAGAGCACAUAACUAGUCAAUGAAGCAGAAUCUUCACUAUUUCCUGUUUAUAUCAGCUCAAAUAUGUACAUUAUGGAAAUAUGACUUUGUGAUUCCUUAUUGAAUAAUACUUUGUUCCGAUUUCAUAAUAAAUGCUUAAUGAAUUGCCUUGUGAAAACUCACGUGUGUCCAGAAUUGUGCCAGGUACACAGGACCUAAAGAAAUGAUCUUUGCACUGAAGGAAUCCUUAUAGAAAAUAACACAAUUCUGCUUAAAAGAAACAAUUUGUACUGGCCUUCUUUGUAAGCUCUAUUAGCAAAUGCCUAGUGAGUAUUACUCAGUAUAUGUCCCUGUCUGUACAAAGACCAAAGCACUGGACUGAGACUUCAGCCAACCUGCUCACCUUUCUAUUUACAAAGUUCCAUGCAAGAUUUUUUUUUAAAAAAGGGAAUAUGAAGAGGAAAAAUGAACAUUUCCAGGAGUGGUAAUUAUAAAUUAAGACUUCAGAAGGGCAGGAAUAACAAAGAAUCCUUCAAUACCAUAAACAGAAUAAUACUAAAUUCUAAUAGAGUAAUUCUCAAACUCGUAAAAUAACAUAUGCUCAAAAUGUUAAUAUUGUUUGAUUGUUUGGAUGUUAAUACAAUUUUUCACAGAAACAAAUUAUACAGAGAUGAAGUUCUUAAAGUGACACACAAAAAUGUGUAGUGAAUAUUGAAAGGGAACUAUAAUAACUACAAGUCUCACAGGAUUUUCGUGAUUGAGAUACUAUAUAAAAUAUCUGGAAGAGCACCUGCCUAACUGUUGGCACUCAAAUGUGAACCAUUUAUCAUAUUGUUUACUUUUAUAUUGCUUUGAACACUAAGCCCUGCAAUGCAUCCUAAGUUUCCAAGUCAGACACAGGGGAUAUUACCUUCGCCCAUCACAGAAAUGGAGAGGGAAAACUGCUCCCUUAGUUUCACUGCUGCAAAAGCAUUUGUAGAUGACAAAAUGCCCCACCUGUGAGGGGAACGGGAGGUGGAAUGAGAUACACGGAGGAAGAUGGCCUCCUUUGGGACUUUGGGGAGUGUAUCAUCUAUAUAGGCUACUCUCCAUGAUGAAUCACGCAUUAGUUUUUGGUUAUUUUUUCCCUUUCUUUUAGAUUUGAGUGACUGUCAGGCCAUUAUUGCAACUGUAGUUUCUGAGCAACUGACCUGUUUACCCUAUAUCUCUGGCUAUUUUUAAAUUGUCAAGAUCUGGAAAAAAGCCCCAUUUGUUCCACUGAUGGCCUACUAAGAGGUACAUUUAAUAUCUUCUAGAUUAAUCUAUAGAUGCUAUAUAGGUCCCUAGAUUUAAUAUUA